ensembl:snRNA U4 U4 spliceosomal RNA
AGCUUUGCGCAGUGGCAGUAUCAUAGCCAAUGAGGUUUAUCCGAGGCGCGAUUAUUGCUAAUUAAAAGAUAAAUUAGUUUUUAAUUUAUUAGAAUACAUAUAAUAAAUAGAUCUACUCAAAUCUAUUUUCAAAAAU